GUAACUGACAUCAAAACCACCAACAUCAAAGAAACUUAACAUUGUCUCCAAGAAAAGAAUGGGCUGGAAGAAAAAGUCAGCAGAAGAGUUCCUGCAGAAAUAUACCAUCUGGGAAAAGCAGUUUGCUAACUGAAGUCAGAGUGGGUGAGACAAAGGAAUUGAUGUGAGUGGGAGCAUGGAAGAGAGAAGUAAAUAAAACAAGAGCUGAAACAUGGGUCAAAGGAGCUCCAAAGAUUCAUCACCGACGCAUGUAAGAAAACAUGAAAGGAAUGGCUUGUCAUUGUUCCAAGGACACUCACAUCAUCUCUGACCCCAGAUGCCAUGCCUUCUUUGAUUUCCGGAUGCGUGACAAGGAACUGGGAAUUUGAAUGAGACUCUUAACCAACAGGCACUCUCCCUCCUUAAGGGAUGUGCAAAUUCCAAAGUCGUUCUUCAGUUACCGCCCUGUGGUGUUUUGGACUAAUGAGUAACGAAAAACUUCCCUUCCCCUUUGUUGAAGAAACAUGGCGGGGACAUCAGUGGACACCAAUAGUUUCCACUUGUGUGUGUCCUCAUUCCUUUCUAAGGCUGUCGUGGACCUAUGGGAGGUCAAGUCUGGCAGGUCCUAGAGGUAUAAAAUAAGAAGACAAUCUUAAGAGUAAGGGAACGGACUGACAGGGCUGAGGAAGUUGUUUGAGGAGAUGGUAGAUGAACUUGGACAGUUUCAUUUGGAUCCUGUUCUAUCUUCACAUCCCAGCACCACAACAUAGCCUCCAUCCACAGAGGACACAGGCUGAAGAAGUGUUCAAUGCCACUUGGAAACUAAAACACAUUUCUUGCUCACUGGCCCCUUCCCAAUAAUCCCCAGCCCCAAGUAAAUGAUUAAAAAAACCCUCAGUGUUCAGUUCUCUAAUCACUAUGUACCCAAUGUACCUACCAAUAUUUCUAACAAGUCCAUUUGACCAUUAGAAUUUUGUCCCCUUA